rnacentral:rRNA from 1 species
UUGCUUGCAAACCAAAGCUGGCGACCGGCGCACGGGUGAGUAACACGUAUCCAACCUGCCUCAUACUCGGGGAUAGCCUUUCGAAAGAAAGAUUAAUAUCCGAUAGCAUAUAUUUCCCGCAUGGGUUUUAUAUUAAAGAAAUUCGGUAUGAGAUGGGGAUGCGUUCCAUUAGUUUGUUGGCGGGGUAACGGCCCACCAAGACUACGAUGGAUAGGGGUUCUGAGAGGAAGGUCCCCCACAUUGGAACUGAGACACGGUCCAAACUCCUACGGGAGGCAGCAGUGAGGAAUAUUGGUCAAUGGACGCGAGUCUGAACCAGCCAAGUAGCGUGAAGGAUGACUGCCCUAUGGGUUGUAAACUUCUUUUAUAUGGGAAUAAAGUGGUCCACGUGUGGAUUUUUGUAUGUACCAUAUGAAUAAGGAUCGGCUAACUCCGUGCCAGCAGCCGCGGUAAUACGGAGGAUCCGAGCGUUAUCCGGAUUUAUUGGGUUUAAAGGGAGCGUAGGCGGAUUGUUAAGUCAGUUGUGAAAGUUUGCGGCUCAACCGUAAAAUUGCAGUUGAUACUGGCAGUCUUGAGUGCAGUAGAGGUGGGCGGAAUUCGUGGUGUAGCGGUGAAAUGCUUAGAUAUCACGAAGAACUCCGAUUGCGAAGGCAGCUCACUGGAGUGU